GCAAGUCGAGCGGUAACAGGCAUUUGAUUCAGCUUGCUGAAUCUCGCGCUGACGAGCGGCGGACGGGUGAGUAACGCGUAGGAAUCUACCUAGUAGAAGGGGAUAGCCCGGGGAAACUCGGAUUAAUACCGUAUACGUCCUUAGGGAGAAAGAGGGCUUAGCUUUGAUGCUCUCGCUAUUAGAUGAGCCUGCGUAAGAUUAGCUUGUUGGUGAGGUAAAGGCUCACCAAGGCGACGAUCUUUAGCUGGUCUGAGAGGACGAUCAGCCACAUUGGGACUGAGACACGGCCCAGACUCCUACGGGAGGCAGCAGUGGGGAAUAUUGGACAAUGGGCGCAAGCCUGAUCCAGCCAUACCGCGUGUGUGAAGAAGGCCUUCGGGUUGUAAAGCACUUUAAGUAAGGAAGAAAAGUAUAUUGUUAAUACCAACGUACCGUGACAUUACUUACAGAAUAAGGACCGGCUAAUUCCGUGCCAGCAGCCGCGGUAAUACGGAAGGUCCAAGCGUUAAUCGGAAUUACUGGGCGUAAAGCGCGCGUAGGUGGUUUAUUAAGUUGGGUGUGAAAGCCCCGGGCUCAACCUGGGAACUGCAUCCAAAACUGAUUCACUAGAGUACGAAAGAGGGAGGUAGAAUUCACAGUGUAGCGGUGGAAUGCGUAGAUAUUGUGAAGAAUAUCAAUGGCGAAGGCAGCCUCCUGGUUCUGUACUGACACUGAGGUGCGAAAGCGUGGGUAGCGAACAGGAUUAGAUACCCUGGUAGUCCACGCCGUAAACGAUGACAACUAGCUGUUGGGAAGCAAUGCUUUUCAGUGGCGCAGCUAACGUAUUAAGUUGUCCGCCUGGGGAGUACGGCCGCAAGGUUA
rnacentral:rRNA from 1 species